GGCCAGACUCCUACGGGAGGCAGCAGUGGGGAAUAUUGGUCAAUGGGCUUACGCCUGAACCAGCCAAGUCGCGUGAGGGAAGACUGCCCUAUGGGUUGUAAAACUCUUUUGUCAGGGAGCAACGCCGGCUACGUGUAGCCGGACUGAGAGUACCUGAAGAAAAAGCAUCGGCUAACUCCGUGCCAGCAGCCGCGGUAAUACGGAGGAUGCGAGCGUUAUCCGGAUUUAUUGGGUUUAAAGGGUGCGCAGGCGGAAUGUCAAGUCAGCGGUAAAAUUUCGGGGCUCAACCCCGUCGUGCCGUUGAAACUGGCGUUCUUGAGUGAGCGAGAAGUAUGCGGAAUGCGUGGUGUAGCGGUGAAAUGCAUAGAUAUCACGCAGAACUCCGAUUGCGAAGGCAGCAUACCGGCGCGCAACUGACGCUCAUGCACGAAAGCGUGGGUAUCGAACAGGAUUAGAUACCCC
rnacentral:rRNA from 1 species